UACGUAGGGUGCGAGCGUUAAUCGGAAUUACUGGGCGUAAAGUGUGCGCAGGCGGCCGAGCAAGUCGAGUGUGAAAGCCCCGAGCUUAACUUGGGAACUGCGCUCGAAACUACUUGGCUAGAGUGUGGCAGAGGGAGGUGGAAUUCCAUGUGUAGCGGUGAAAUGCGUAGAGAUGUGGAGGAACACCGAUGGCGAAGGCAGCCUCCUGGGCCAACACUGACGCUCAUGCACGAAAGCGUGGGGAGCAAACAGG
rnacentral:rRNA from 1 species